rnacentral:rRNA from 1 species
GCUCACGGCCAUAUCAGCCUGGGUACUCCCGAUCUCGUCUGAUCUCGGAAGCUAAGCAGGGUUGGGCCUGGUUAGUACUUGGAUGGGAGACCGCCUGGGAAUACCAGGUGCUGUAAGCA